rnacentral:lncRNA from 1 species
CAGAGGACACCAUUGCCUGGAGAUGACAGAAGGCCGAGGAUGGAGAGAGGCACUGAUAGAGGCCAGACCAGACAAGCAGUGCCAAGUCCAUAGUGGGACACCAAAGGGAGGAGGCAAUCCCAGAUGAGGUCCAUCCCAGAACCAGACCUUGCAGGGACCUCAAGGAGCUAUGAACAUAGAAACCCUAUACACGAUAUCACUUGAAUCCCUCCACAGGGGCUUCUGAUAUUGUCUUAGACCUUCAGAAAGUUCAGGGGUAGUAGCCUCUGGGCCCAUAGUGCUCCCCUGAUGAUGCAGCCCCACCCUCGACUCUUGCCACUGCAGAUGCUCCUUGGGCAGUUUCAUCUGGGCCUUUCACAUCAGCUCCCUCCAAAUGUGACUGGACCUCAAAUGGAUCUUCAGACCCCCAUGCCCAACCACCUCCCAGCUACCUUCCCUGGACAACCCACAGGUCACAUGAUCACCAGGAAGCCCAUGUCUCUGCAUGAUAACCUGGAGAAACCUACAGAUGCCAGGCUUCUGAAUCUCAUUCACCGUGCUUCCCAGGGAUCAAGGAAGAAAUACCCAGAGAUACAGACUGAAAAAUCAGGAAACUGGAUGGGAUUCAGAGCCCUUGGAGCGGAGCCUUCUCAUUCAUUCACCCAACUCCAGUCUAAAACGUGCAGCUCUGAAGCCGGGCUGCUUCAUAGAGACUUGAGUAAAUAGCACAGUAAAGCCCAGGUUUUACCAGUGAGGAGGAGGGUAAAUACACUGAUCAUUUGCAAGAGCACCUCUUCAGAUAUGGCACCUCUCCUUGGAGAGAGGAGACUAUGGAAGACCGGGAGACAAUUCUAGCUGAAGCUCACACCACUUACACAACAAAAGAUCUAAGUCUAAAAGGGAGAGAGUAAAGACCUGGCUCACAUGGGUGUGAAGUGUACGUGUGGAAACAUUGCAUGUUUAACAUUUCACAACAUCUUGUAGCAGGCUUACUACGGCGGGAAGGACAAGUGUGGCUGGCCCAGCCAGUGCUGUCCUGCUCAGACCUUCCUAGGCUUUGCAAUGCUGGGAUAAUAGGGAAGCCACACUCAAUGAGCAUUUCUCAGCCUCACAUCUCCUGGUCAACCCAGAAUGCCACAACCACAGGCUGAACCACAGAUCUGGAGGCUGGGAAAUCCAAGAGCAUGGCACUGGCAUCAGGCAAGGGUCAGCCCAUGCUGGAGGGCAGAAGGCAGAAGUGAGCAUGUGAGACAGAGAUAAGAAAUUAGGCUGAACUUGCUUGUAUAGCAAACCCAGCCUCUCAAUAACUAACCCACUCCGGCAAUAAUGGCAUUAAUCCAUUCAUGAGGGCAGAGCCCCCAUGACCUAAUCACAUCCUAAAGGCCCCACAUCAAUCAUAUCUCAACAUGAGGUUCAGAGGACACAAACAUUCAAACCAUAGCAGUCGGUAGAGAGCAUCAACAUAUAUUGUGGAGCAGGAAAACAAACGUCCAGAGAGAAUGUCUAUGAUGGUACCCAAUGAGUCUAGGACCAGGAUUCUUAUGCUAUGGUCACUCAUAUUUUUGAGUUUCAUCAAAUGAAUGUCCUCCACAUCACCAGCAAGCAGCUUCCACCUUCUGGAUCUUCAGAAUGGUCUUAAAGAUGAGGGAUGGAGGCCAGGCACGCUGGCUUAUGACUGUAAUCCCAGCAGGAAGCUGGGAGCCCAAGGCAGGAAGAUUGCUUGAGGCUAAGAGUUCAAGAUCAGUUUGGGCAACACAGCAAAAACUAUCUCUACAAAAACUAAAACUAAAAAUAAAUCACCUGAGCAUGGUGGUGCAUGCCUAUAGGCUGAGGUGGCUGAGGUGGAAGGAUUGCUUAAGCCCAGGAAGUUGAGACCACAGACAGCCAUGA